GGAAGGUAAAACUAAGGGGGCUGGACUGUUAGAUCUGUCGUGAGAUAGUCAUUGGCUACGUGUGAAGCUUGUUCUUGCCACCUAGUACACCAUCUGGAGUGCAAAGAACAACACAGAUGGCAACAGCUUUCAACCUGGACAGGCAACCUAGGGAUUAAAGGCACCACAUGCCAGUAACAAUCCUGAAAGGCCAACACAGACGCCAAAACAAUGCAUAUGUCUGCCACCAAGGAAAAAGGAGAAUAAGGGGUAUUGCUGAAACUGCUCCCAGCAGGGAUAUGAUCCAUUUGCUUGAAGAGCUCUUUAGUCCAUGC